GGAAUGUGGCUUAGUGGUAGAGUGCUUGCCUUGCAUGCAUGAAGCCCUGGGUUCAAUUCCUCAGUACCA
rnacentral:tRNA from 1 species